UAAUGCCCAUAAUACUCUUUGCUGCCACAAAUGAGAUUCUAUUCCAAUUCCAAAUAUAACAAAUGGCUGACAGUGUACACCAAAUUAAUAACUAACUUCUACUGAAUAAUAAGUCAAAAGCUUCUUAUAGGCCUUUCUCUCGAGUAAAUUAUAGUCAUAAGAUUCUCGAACACGAUCAAUACUAAUCAUGCAGAUGAUUCUGCGGUUUGAUACGUUGAUUAUCAGAAUAUAUCGUGCAGCGAGAGAUCGAUCCGGUCACGCGUGUGAUCACUUCGUAAAUACCACCUUAUUUCGGGAAGUAAAGUAGGUAUGUCCAUGCACACAAGGUGGUGAUGGAUGGUUGCGAUCCACAUCAAGAUAAAUAUUUUAAGCACUGAAUUUGAAAUUGUUCGUAUACAUAUGAACUGAAUUACCA
rnacentral:lncRNA from 1 species